GGAAUUAUUAACUUUGCUUUGUUUAGUAUUGCUCUCAAGGGAGGAAGAGAAGUUGAGUUUGUCGGGCUUCAAUUCUAUACCAAUAAGGAAAUAUACAGGGAUUUAAUGUAAGAGGUUUAUAUAUACACAUGAAUUUCCGGUGACCUCUGUUCUUUAAUUGAACAAGUUGCUCCAUCUUGUCAAUAUAGCGUGAGAUUUUUGCAAAUUUUAGGAAGUACGGUGUAAUCUUUCACAAAAGAAUCGGCUCAGGUAUGUUAAGGCUAUCCCUUCUUUCUUUUGGCAUGAUCCAUACGAUACGAACAAAACGUGCAAAUGUGCAAAUUCCAUAAAUGACUCUAUUCAUAGAAGUAUUAUAGAUAUUUAUGUCCCUGAAUUUCCAUGUGUCAUAAUAUUUUAUCAUCUGCUCAUGGGUCUCAGAAAAAUAUGAAAGUUGAAAAAAAAAGUUUACUUUAUGAGAUUGCUCAAGACAAAAUGGUCUUAUGAAAUUCUGAAAGAUUUUAUUAACGUACUUUUCAUGUAUUGCAUUCAUGUGCAUUAACCCAUGACCAGAUGGUGUUAUAUACGCGUAUAUAUGUAAAUAUAUGUAUAUGGGAUAUGGAAAAAGUUUAUGGCAUUAUAUACGCACCACCACCUGAUCAACUAGUAUAUGAUGAUGAUGUUGCCCACAAUGGCUGAAAUAUGAUUCAAACGGCAUUAUAUAUGCGUAUGUAUAUAUGUAUAUGGGAUAUGGGAAAUGUUAUGGCGUUAUAUACACACCACCACCUGAUCAGCUGGUAUACGAUAAUGAUUUUGCCCGCAGUGGCUAAUAUGAUAUGAUGGGAUGCCCUCAGAGGCUGAUGAUGUUAUAAAAUAUGUACCUAUGCACGACAUGACAUUCAUACGCAUACGCAUGACGCUAAAAGUAAUUUAUGAUUUACAAAGUUAUUCAGACUUACAAGUUGAGUCAUGUACUCUAUAUGUCUUCCAUGUCUCUUAUGUAUUUAUUUAUGUACCUUACAUACUCAGUACAUUAUUCGUACUGACGUCCCUUUUGCCUGGGGACGUUGUGUUUCAUGUCCACAGGUCUCGAUAGACAGGUCGAGAGCCCUCCAUGUAGGCUAUCAGCUCAGCGAAAGAUGUUGGUGCGCUCUAUUUGCUUCGGAGUUGUUGUUUGAUUAGUAUGAGUUAGAUGUAUAUUGUUUGGUAUGGCGGGACUCUGUCUCGACCUUUAUGAUAUUUAUGUAUUCUUAGAGGCUUGUAGACGUAUGUCGUGUACAUAAAAGAUUGUACGGCCUUGUUGGCCUAUGUUUUGAGUUUAUAAAG
rnacentral:lncRNA from 1 species